rnacentral:rRNA from 1 species
UGGGGAAUAUUGGACAAUGGGGGCAACCCUGAUCCAGCAAUGCCGCGUGUGUGAAGAAGGCCUUCGGGUUGUAAAGCACUUUCAGUGGGGAAGAAAGAACCAAAAUUAAUACUUUUGGGUGUUGACGUUACCCACAGAAGAAGCACUGGCUAACUCUGUGCCAGCAGCCGCGGUAAUACAGAGAGUGCAAGCGUUAAUCGGAAUUACUGGGCGUAAAGCGCGCGUAGGUGGAUACUUAAGUCGGAUGUGAAAUCCCUGGGCUUAACCUAGGAAUUGCAUUCGAUACUGGGUAUCUGGAGUAUGGUAGAGGGAAGUGGAAUUUCCGGUGUAGCGGUGAAAUGCGUAGAUAUCGGAAAGAACACCAGUGGCGAAGGCGGCUUCCUGGACCAAUACUGACACUGAGGUGCGAAAGCGUGGGGAGCAAACAGG